rfam:TPA: Bos taurus chromosome 8, whole genome shotgun sequence.
UCCCUGGUGGCUCAGACAGUAAAGCGUCUGCCUGCAAUGUGGGAGACCCAGGUUCGAUCCCUGGGUCUGGGAA